GCUUCAGUGGCCUAGUAGUUAGAAUGUCCGCCUCGGAUGCGGGAGGUCGUGGGUUCGAUCCCCGAUCGAGUCA